UAAUUGCCCUUUCAUUGAGUUUUAUGAGUUUAAAUGUGCCGCCGGGAUUGGCUCUAUUACGUCACGUGACCACAGAAUCGGGGAAAAUUACGGCCCUGUUCUGACGUUAUAGGUACUAAAUCAUAGAUUUAUGCCGAAAUGUAUGGCCCUUGAAAGCCUAUAUGGCUGGCAAUGAUUCCUGUCCCAGUGUCCGUCUCACAAGCCUUGAACACAGAAGGUUAUAGCUCCCAUCUCUUGCAUUUAGGAAAAUACAAAACUCCUUCCAGUUUUAUAUAAAGAAUGGAUGGGUAUAUUUUCACCGUGUGCUUUCUAAAAGCAGGAUUACGUGUUAAAGCGAAUAGGGAGCGAAUUAGAAGGUGAAACGUGUGUGGUUGAUGGAUUAUCGAUUUCUGGUACGUCGGUGGAUCUCGAAGAAAGACUUCAUCGGCAUGGAGUCUUAAAAGAAACGGAUAUUAUCUUCACACAGACACUGAUUUCGCGUUGACCAGGACGAGGUGUGGGACGCUGAGCUUCAUACUGAAGAUUAAAAUCGUCGCAACUAGCAGCAAGAUUACCGAUGUGGGUAAAGGCAAUACUCACCUGAACUCAACUCAACUCAACUCAACUCACUCAAUCAGUGACUCACUCAAGAU